rnacentral:rRNA from 1 species
UACGUAGGGUGCAAGCGUUGUCCGGAAUUAUUGGGCGUAAAGAGCUCGUAGGCGGUUUGUUGCGUCGGCUGUGAAAUCCCGAGGCUCAACCUCGGGUCUGCAGUCGAUACGAGCAAACUAGAGUGUUGCAGGGGAGACUGGAAUUCCUGGUGUAGCGGUGAAAUGCGCAGAUAUCGGGAGGAACACCGGUGGCGAAGGCGGCGACCUGGGUAGAUACUGACGCUGAGGUGCGAAAGCGUGGGGAGCAAACAGG